rnacentral:rRNA from 1 species
UUAAAUUGAAGAGUUUGAUCAUGGCUCAGAUUGAACGCUGGCGGCAGGCCUAACACAUGCAAGUCGAACGGUAACAGGAAGCAGCUUGCUGCUUUGCUGACGAGUGGCGGACGGGUGAGUAAUGUCUGGGAAACUGCCCGAUGGAGGGGGAUAACUACUGGAAACGGUAGCUAAUACCGCAUAACGUCGCAAGACCAAAGAGGGGGACCUUCGGGCCUCUUGCCAUCGGAUGUGCCCAGAUGGGAUUAGCUAGUAGGUGGGGUAAAGGCUCACCUAGGCGACGAUCCCUAGCUGGUCUGAGAGGAUGACCAGCCACACUGGAACUGAGACACGGUCCAGACUCCUACGGGAGGCAGCAGUGGGGAAUAUUGCACAAUGGGCGCAAGCCUGAUGCAGCCAUGCCGCGUGUAUGAAGAAGGCCUUCGGGUUGUAAAGUACUUUCAGCGGGGAGGAAGGGAGUAAAGUUAAUACCUUUGCUCAUUGACGUUACCCGCAGAAGAAGCACCGGCUAACUCCGUGCCAGCAGCCGCGGUAAUACGGAGGGUGCAAGCGUUAAUCGGAAUUACUGGGCGUAAAGCGCACGCAGGCGGUUUGUUAAGUCAGAUGUGAAAUCCCCGGGCUCAACCUGGGAACUGCAUCUGAUACUGGCAAGCUUGAGUCUCGUAGAGGGGGGUAGAAUUCCAGGUGUAGCGGUGAAAUGCGUAGAGAUCUGGAGGAAUACCGGUGGCGAAGGCGGCCCCCUGGACGAAGACUGACGCUCAGGUGCGAAAGCGUGGGGAGCAAACAGGAUUAGAUACCCUGGUAGUCCACGCCGUAAACGAUGUCGACUUGGAGGUUGUGCCCUUGAGGCGUGGCUUCCGGAGCUAACGCGUUAAGUCGACCGCCUGGGGAGUACGGCCGCAAGGUUAAAACUCAAAUGAAUUGACGGGGGCCCGCACAAGCGGUGGAGCAUGUGGUUUAAUUCGAUGCAACGCGAAGAACCUUACCUGGUCUUGACAUCCACGGAAGUUUUCAGAGAUGAGAAUGUGCCUUCGGGAACCGUGAGACAGGUGCUGCAUGGCUGUCGUCAGCUCGUGUUGUGAAAUGUUGGGUUAAGUCCCGCAACGAGCGCAACCCUUAUCCUUUGUUGCCAGCGGUCCGGCCGGGAACUCAAAGGAGACUGCCAGUGAUAAACUGGAGGAAGGUGGGGAUGACGUCAAGUCAUCAUGGCCCUUACGACCAGGGCUACACACGUGCUACAAUGGCGCAUACAAAGAGAAGCGACCUCGCGAGAGCAAGCGGACCUCAUAAAGUGCGUCGUAGUCCGGAUUGGAGUCUGCAACUCGACUCCAUGAAGUCGGAAUCGCUAGUAAUCGUGGAUCAGAAUGCCACGGUGAAUACGUUCCCGGGCCUUGUACACACCGCCCGUCACACCAUGGGAGUGGGUUGCAAAAGAAGUAGGUAGCUUAACCUUCGGGAGGGCGCUUACCACUUUGUGAUUCAUGACUGGGGUGAAGUCGUAACAAGGUAACCGUAGGGGAACCUGCGGUUGGAUCACCUCCUUACCUUAAAGAAGC